rnacentral:rRNA from 1 species
UACGUAGGGUGCAAGCGUUGUCCGGAAUUACUGGGCGUAAAGAGUUCGUAGGCGGUUUGUCGCGUCGUUUGUGAAAACUCACAGCUCAACUGUGAGCCUGCAGGCGAUACGGGCAGACUUGAGUACUGCAGGGGAGACUGGAAUUCCCAGUGUAGCGGUGAAAUGCGCAGAUAUUGGGAAGAACACCAGUGGCGAAGGCGGUUCUCUGGGACGGUACUGACGCUGAGACGCGAAAGCGUGGGAGCGAACAGG